rnacentral:rRNA from 1 species
UACGUAGGGUGCAAGCGUUGUCCGGAAUUAUUGGGCGUAAAGAGCUCGUAGGCGGUCUGUCGCGUCGGCUGUGAAAACCUGGGGCUUAACUCCGGGCUUGCAGCCGAUACGGGCAGACUAGAGUUCGGCAGGGGAGACUGGAAUUCCUGGUGUAGCGGUGAAAUGCGUAGAUAUCAGGAGGAACACCGGCGGUGUAGACGGCUUUCUGGACCGUAGCUGACGCUGAGACACGAAAGCGUGGGUAGCAAACAGG